GAUGAACGCUGACAGAAUGCUUAACACAUGCAAGUCUUUGGCGAAGCUGUGCUUGCACAGCCUAGCCAAGGCGGACGGGUGAGUAACGCGUAAGGAACUUGCCCUGCAGUCAGGGAUAACAGACGGAAACGACUGAUAAGACCUGGUAAAGUCAGGCGGACUCAUGUCCAGCCUGAUGAAAAGAGAUGCUGCAGGAGAGCCUUGCGUCCUAUUAGCUUGUUGGUGGGGUAACGGCCCACCAAGGCGAUGAUAGGUAGCCGGCCUGAGAGGGUGGACGGCCACAAGGGGACUGAGAUACGGCCCUUACUCCUUCGGGAGGCAGCAGUGGGGAAUAUUGGACAAUGGGGGCAACACUGAUCCAGCAAUUCUGUGUGCACGAUGAAGGUUUUCGGAUUGUAAAGUGCUUUCAGCAGGGAAGAAAAAAAUGACGGUACCUGCAGAAGAAGCGACGGCUAAAUACGUG
rnacentral:rRNA from 1 species